rnacentral:miRNA from 15 species
GACUCUCCAUUUUGUAUUGCG